rnacentral:rRNA from 1 species
CUCUGUUGUAAGAGAAGAACGAGUGUGAGAGUGGAAAGUUCACACUGUGACGGUAUCUUACCAGAAAGGGACGGCUAACUACGUGCCAGCAGCCGCGGUAAUACGUAGGUCCCGAGCGUUGUCCGGAUUUAUUGGGCGUAAAGCGAGCGCAGGCGGUUAGAUAAGUCUGAAGUUAAAGGCUGUGGCUUAACCAUAGUACGCUUUGGAAACUGUUUAACUUGAGUGCAAGAGGGGAGAGUGGAAUUCCAUGUGUAGCGGUGAAAUGCGUAGAUAUAUGGAGGAACACCGGUGGCGAAAGCGGCUCUCUGGCUUGUAACUGACGCUGAGGCUCGAAAGCGUGGGGAGCAAACAGGAUUAGAUACCCUGGUAGUCCACGCCGUAAACGAUGAGUGCUAGGUGUUAGACCCUUUCCGGGGUUUAGUGCCGCAGCUAACGCAUUAAGCACUCCGCCUGGGGAGUACGACCGCAAGGUUGAAACUCAAAGGAAUUGACGGGGGCCCGCACAAG